rnacentral:rRNA from 1 species
CACGUAGGGCGCAAGCGUUGUCCGGAAUUAUUGGGCGUAAAGAGCUCGUAGGCGGUCUGUUGCGUCCGCUGUGAAAACUCGGGGCUUAACCCCGAGCCUGCAGUGGAUACGGGCAGACUAGAGGUAGGUAGGGGAGAAUGGAAUUCCCGGUGUAGCGGUGAAAUGCGCAGAUAUCAGGAGGAACACCGGUGGCGAAGGCGGUUCUCUGGGCAUGUCCUGACGCUGAGGAGCGAAAGUGUGGGGAGCAAACAGG